rnacentral:misc_RNA from 1 species
GAUGAAGAACGUAGCGAAAUGCGAUAAGUAAUGUGAAUUGCAGAAUUCAGUGAAUCAUCGAAUCUUUGAACGCACAUUGCGCCCGCCAGUAUUCUGGCGGGCAUGCCUGUCUGAGCGUCAUUUCAACCCUCAUGCCCCUAGGGCGUGGUGUUGUGGAUCGGCCAAAGCCCGCGAGGGACGGCCGGCCCCUAAAUCUAGUGGCGGACCCGUCGUGGCCUCCUCUGCGAAGUAGUGAUAUUCCGCAUCGGAGAGCGACGAGCCCCUGCCGUUAAACCCCCAACUUUCCAAGGUUGACCUCAGAUCAGGUAGGAAUACCCGCUGAACUUAAGCAUAUCAAUAAGCGGAGGA